AACGAACGCUGGCGGCAUGCCUAAUACAUGCAAGUCGAACGAACUCUUCGGAGUUAGUGGCGCACGGGUGCGUAACGCGUGGGAAUCUGCCCUUGGGUUCGGAAUAACAGUUGGAAACGACUGCUAAUACCGGAUGAUGACGUAAGUCCAAAGAUUUAUCGCCCAGGGAUGAGCCCGCGUAGGAUUAGCUAGUUGGUGAG
rnacentral:rRNA from 1 species